rnacentral:rRNA from 1 species
AUAUUGCACAAUGGGCGCAAGCCUGAUGCAGCCAUGCCGCGUGUAUGAAGAAGGCCUUCGGGUUGUAAAGAACUUUCAGCUGUGAGGAAGGCGAUAAAGUUAAUAACCUUGUCGAGUGACGUUACCCGCAGAAGAAGCACCGGCUAACUCCGUGCCAGCAGCCGCGGUAAUACGGAGGGUGCAAGCGUUAAUCGGAAUUACUGGGCGUAAAGCGCGCGCAGGCGGUCUGUCAAGUCGGAUGUGAAAUCCCCGGGCUCAACCUGGGAACUGCAUUCGAAACUGGCAGGCUAGAGUCUUGUAGAGGGGGGUAGAAUUCCAGGUGUAGCGGUGAAAUGCGUAGGGAUCUGGAGGAAUACCGGUGGCGAAGGCGGCCCCCUGGACAAAGACUGACGCUCAGGUGCGAAAGCGUGGGGAGCAAAC